rnacentral:tRNA from 1 species
GGUGGCUUAGUGGUAGAGUGCUUGCCUUUCAUGCAGGAGGCUCUGGGUUCAAUUCCUCAGCACCA